CCUACGGGAGGCAGCAGUGGGGAAUAUUGCACAAUGGGGGAAACCCUGAUGCAGCGACGCCGCGUGAGUGAAGAAGUAUUUCGGUAUGUAAAGCUCUAUCAGCAGGGAAGAAAAUGACGGUACCUGAUUAAGAAGCCCCGGCUAACUACGUGCCAGCAGCCGCGGUAAUACGUAGGGGGCAAGCGUUAUCCGGAUUUACUGGGUGUGAAGGGAGCGUAGACGGCAGCACAAGUCUGGAGUGAAAUGCCGGGGCUUAACCCCGGAACCGCUUUGGAAACUGUGCAGCUAGAGUGCAGGAGAGGUAAGUGGAAUUCCUAGUGUAGCGGUGAAAUGCGUAGAUAUUAGGAGGAACACCAGUGGCGAAGGCGGCUUACUGGACUGUAACUGACGUUGAGGCUCGAAAGCGUGGGGAGCAAACAGGAUUAGAUACCCUGGUAGUC
rnacentral:rRNA from 1 species